CUCUCCCUCGGCCCUCCCCAGCUUGUGCCACGUGCAUACACACUCUCCAAAAAAAAAAGGAAAAAGAAAAAAAUAGAUCUAAUAAACACUUUUCAACUUUUAACUUGUUCUUUGAGGUGCUGUAAUUGUAAUUCAUCAUUUGUUUUCAUGUUUUUUGCUUCAUUGGACCUCUUUUUUUUUUUUUUUUUUUUUUAGGUUUAUUUGUUUAUUUUGAGAGAGAGUGAGCAGGGGAAGGAUGGGGGGUGGGUAAGGGGGGAGACUCCCAAGAAGUCUCCGUACUGUCAACACAGCCCCCCACACAGAGCCCAAACACGAACCAUGAGAACCAUGAGACCGUGACCUGAGCCGAAACCAAGAGUCAGCCACUUAACCAACUGAGCCACCCAGGCACCCUAUAACCUCUUUAGAUAUGGGGUCAGGUUCCUCAGUUGAAGGAUUUUAUUCAAUUAUUCUUAAAGGCAUUUUAAUGCCAACACACCUACCAGAUAUUAUGCCAUUUAAGUCAGCCCUGUACUUGCUUCAAGAAGCCCAAGUUCUAAUCUUUCCCAUUGUUCAAGUUAUAAUGGUCAUAGCCAUUUUUGAGUAUCAGCUAAAUUAUAAGACCUACUUUGAAGCACGGUGUAUCCAGUAUACCUAUAUUAAAAUAAUAUAAAAAGGGGCAUAAGUAAAAGUUACUGAUUGCUUCCAAGAUGUCUUGGCUCCAAAAUGAAAAUCCAAUGGUGUUAGAGGGCCACCUCAAUCUCUCUGUGGCAAAAGCAUUGCUAAUAUCACCCCAUUUAAUGUGCUAUAAAUCUUAAGUCUUUUUAGGGCAAAAAUGAGAACUCUGACACUAUGUUAGACACUGUUUCUCAAUGAGUCUUUGUAAUUAGAUUAUCAAGGUGGGGAGGUAUGAUAGAUGCAUGAAAUUUUUUAUAACAAUUACAACACACAGUUAGAAAAGCUGCCAGUUCUGAACCGUGUGUGGUGUAGCAGCGAAGGAUUGGAGUGCACUGUUCCGAUUAAGAUUGCUUUAAAGCAGUGAUCUCAACGUGUGGUCUGAGAACAUCUGGAGGUCCCCAGAAAUCCUUUCAAGGAGUAAACAAGGUCAAAAUUAUCUUCAUGAUAAUAUUUAGAUGUGAUUUGCCUUUUUCACUCUUAUUCUCACGAAUGUACAGUGGAAUUUUCCAAAAGCUGCAUGACAUAAUGGAUUGAAUGCAGAAGCAGAUAAGAGAGUGCAGCUAUUUUCUAUCAACCAGAGAUUUGCAAAAAUAUUAACCAAUGCCAUUAUUCUUAUUGACUUAUUCUGAAAAAGUUAUUUUUCAUUAAAAAGAUAUUAUCUAUGUUAACAAGUAAUGGCUUUAUUGUUGUUACUUUUAAAUUAAUGGAUAAAUAUUUUUUAAGCUUUUCAAGUUUUAAUUUCUGAUAUGGUAAGUAUUGAUAGCUAUAGCCCACAUUAACAAAAAUUCUUCAGGUUCCUCAAUAAACGUUAAGAGUAUAAAGAGGUCUGGAGACCCAACAAGUGUGAGAACUGCUUCUCUGUGGUAUUAAAAGUCAG